GUGCUUGAAACCACUUUGAAAGUUGGUCCCAGCUGACACAGCGGAAUCAGCCUGUUGGCAAACAAUGGGGCCUUUAUGCAUUAAGAGAACUGCAGGUGUUUUUAAUAUGUAAUAUAUAAUAUGACCUAUUACCAUUACCCAAACGGAAUUGGUUUCCUAGAAGACCAGAAGCCUGGCUAUCACCCCACCCUUUCCAACCACCUGAUGCCGCUAUUUCCAAAUCGUGGAACUUCCCCAAUCACCUGGGACUGUAGGACU